ACCAGACUCCUACGGGAGGCAGCAGUGGGGGAUAUUGCACAAUGGGGGGAACCCUGAUGCAGCGACGCCGCGUGGGUGAAGAAGUAUUUCGGUAUGUAAAGCCCUAUCGGCAGGGAAGAAUUUAGACGGUACCUGACUAAGAAGCCCCGGCUAACUACGUGCCAGCAGCCGCGGUAAUACGUAGGGGGCAAGCGUUAUCCGGAUUCACUGGGUGUAAAGGGAGCGUAGACGGCCAUGCAAGCCUGGAGUGAAAGCCCGGGGCCCAACCCCGGGACUGCUCUGGGAACUGUGCGGCUGGAGUGCGGGAGGGGCAGGCGGAAUUCCUGGUGUAGCGGUGAAAUGCGUAGAUAUCAGGAGGAACACCGGUGGCGAAGGCGGCUUACUGGACAGUGACUGACGUUGAGGCUCGAAAGCGUGGGGAGCGAACAGGAUUAGAUACCCGAGUA
rnacentral:rRNA from 1 species